UUCAGCUACCAAUGCAGGAGAACUCGUACGAUUGUGGCGUUUUCCUGCUUCACUAUGUAGAACAAUUUCUUGAGCUGACUUCAAACAGGACAACUGACUUUAUGGAAUAGCUUGAUCAGAAUUGGUUUGUUUCUUCUGAUGUUUCUCUCAAGAAACGUGAUGAUAUUAGAACACUUAUUUAUCAACUCCAUGAUGAUGCCGUGAAGGAAACCCAACCUGCAGAUGAAAAUGUCCAGACUAAGGUAUAUGAUAACUGAUUUAGGUGAUAUUCACAAAGCCAUUUCACUCACCUGAUUUAGAAUAGAUACUUUACUGAUCCACUCCAAUUUUGCAGGCGAGUUUCUCCAGCUUAAAUGUCUCUCCUGAAUCACAGGGCAUCCCACGUCGAAAGGUGCCAAGACUUAUCCACGAUUAGUCCUAUGCAACUUAAUUUUUCUCAGGCGAGUUUCUCCAACUCAAAUGUCGAUUUGACGAUUCGGUUUAGAACAGAGAUUCAUGCUAUUUGUGUCUCAUAUUGGGUAAUGAUGACUAAUUUGGUUUGACAUUUCAUUGAAAUAUUUUUACAAAUACGGCCACAUUCAUAUCAGAUCACUUUGCAUAUGACCUCUUUUUAUCUAAUGCACGCACCUUCUAAUUAUUAAAGUUUUUUGGUCAAGAUAGAUUUAAA